rnacentral:rRNA from 1 species
AUUGAACGCUGGCGGCAGGCCUAACACAUGCAAGUCGAGCGGAUGAAGGUAGCUUGCUACCUGAUUCAGCGGCGGACGGGUAAGUAAUGCCUAGGAAUCUGCCUGGUAGUGGGGGACAACGUUUCGAAAGGAACGCUAAUACCGCAUACGUCCUACGGGAGAAAGUGGGGGAUCUUCGGACCUCACGCUACCAGAUGAGCCUAGGUACGAUUAGCUAGUUGGUGAGGUAAAGGCUCACCAAGGCGACGAUCGUUAGCUGGUCUGAGAGGAUGAUCAGUCACACUGGAACUGAGACACGGUACAGACUCCUACGGGAGGCAGCAGUGGGGAAUAUUGGACAAUGGGCGAAAGCCUGAUCCAGCCAUGCCGCGUGUGUGAAGAAGGUCUUCGGAUUGUAAAGCACUUUAAGUUGGGAGGAAGGGCAGUAAGUUAAUACCUUGCUGUUUUGACGUUACCGACAGAAUAAGCACCGGCUAACUUCGUGCCAGCCGCCGCCGUAAGAC